GGGAAUGAAAUUGGAGAUUAAUCUGCAUUUAAUAUUUCAGUGCUAUACUAAAAAGAAUCAAAAGCCGACGGACCAUUUCUGCAAAUACAAUAAAUGCUAGAUUGAAACAUUAAAAGUAUUGGGGUAAAUUUGUGAAAUACUUUGAACAAAUUGGAAGUUUGAGGCAUAUUAUGAAAGAAGAUGGAAACUAGAGGAUGAAAGUUGAAAAAAUAUGAAACUCCUCCACUGAUGUUGCCCAAUAUAUCCUCUCGCCGGAUCUCACUGACGACGACGUCAAGGUUUGAAACUGACGACGGCGAAGGCUGAAAGCACGACCCGGAGAUGGAGAGGUUGUGGGCUUGAGACAUGGAGAAGCUGAUGUUGACAAAAUGAAGAGCUCGCGGUAUGAGGUCGGCGACGACGGAACUCUCUGACUACUCCGUCACGUCAGUGAUGGCUUAUCACGAAGGCAUGCUCACCGAUCGAGCUUGAGCACCACGGAAGAAAAGACGUGUAGAGAAGGAAGAACACAUCGUUGGAUGAAGCUCGCCGUGACUGAAGAUUCCGGAGGAGUGCUCGUCAUUUUGGAGCAGUCCCGGCAUUUUUGGUAUGUGACGGUCGACGGUGACCAUAUAUCUUAUUCAUUUUGGUGACCAAAGAAGCAUAGAUUUACGGGAAAAAAAUUUCAGUUUAGUUUUGUUUUAAUGAUAAGGAAGAAGAGAAGAAUGGGAACCACCAUAGAUCUGAUAAAAAUGAAAAGAAGAGAGAGUUGACAAAGAAAAAGAGAAACGAAGAGAGAAGAGAAAUG
rnacentral:lncRNA from 1 species